UACGGAGGAUCCGAGCGUUAUCCGGAUUUAUUGGGUUUAAAGGGUGCGCAGGCGGCACGGCAAGCCGGCGGUCAAAUCGCGGGGCUCAACCCCGCCCAGCCGUCGGAACUGCCGGGCUAGAGUGGGCGAGAAGUGCGCGGAAUGCGUGGUGUAGCGGUGAAAUGCAUAGAUAUCACGCAGAACUCCGAUUGCGAAGGCAGCGCACCGGCGCCCUACUGACGCUCAGGCACGAAAGCGUGGGUAUCGAACAGG
rnacentral:rRNA from 1 species